GGAAGGAUCAUUACCAAAUAUGCUUGCUUGGAUGGAGCAAUCCGUUCUGCAACGAAACCCCCUUCUGUGUAUCUGUUCAAUGUUGCUUUCACUGGCCCGCGGGUUAUCCAUUCCAUGAGAGUGGAAUGGAAAUUAAUCCCCUCUGGUGCCUGAUCGAAAUUGAUCGGCUGGAGAGCUGCCGGUGAGAGUCAUGCUUCAAACUCUGUGGUAUUACCAUGCAUGAGCAAUGUCUGAGCUUUAAUGCUAAAAAAUAAACUUGUUAAAACUUUCAACAACGGAUCUCUUGGUUCUCGCAUCGAUGAAGAACGCAGCGAAAUGCGAUAAGUAGUGUGAAUUGCAGAAUUCAGUGAAUCAUCGAAUCUUUGAACGCACAUUGCGCCUUCUGGCAUUCCGGGAGGCAUGCCUGUCCGAACGUCAUUAAGCCCCUCAUCCGGAGCAGUUUACAUACUGCUUGCUGGAUGGUACUUGGAGGAUGAUUGAUUGCUAUGCAUCCGGUCACCUCUGAAAUAUACUGGUUGACUGUCUGGUCUGUAAUUGUGAUAAGCAUUCUACAAUAGCAGAUCUGAUAGGAGUCUUUCCGUCAAUCUGGUGCUCUCCACUGCACUGUGAACCAUCUUUUGACUUCGGAUCAGGUAGGGAUACCCGCUGAACUUAAGCAUAUCAAUAAGCGGAGGAAAAGAAACCAACAGGGAUUGCCUUAGUAACUGCGAGUGAAGCGGCAAGAGCUCAAAUUUGAAAUCUGGCACCUUCGGUGUCCGAAUUGUAAUUUGGAGAGAUGACUUCGGUGCUGUUGGCCGUUCCAAGUUCCUUGGAACAGGACGUCACAGAGGGUGAGAAUCCCGUGUCUGGGCGGUUGGCAUGCUCCAUGUGAAGUCUCUUCGACGAGUCGAGUUGUUUGGGAAUGCAGCUCAAAAUGGGUGGUAAAUUUCAUCUAAAGCUAAAUAUUGGCGAGAGACCGAUAGCGCACAAGUAGAGUGAUCGAAAGAUGAAAAGCACUUUGAAAAGAGAGUUAAAAAGUACGUGAAAUUGUUGAAAGGGAAGCGCUUGAGAUCAGACUCGACCGUUGGUGAUCAGCAGUCCUUCUGGGCUGUGCACUGGCCGACGGUUGGACCAGCAUCGGUUGCCGCGGCAGGAGAAAGGUUGGGGGAAUGUGGCCGACUUGUCGGUGUUAUAGCCCCUGGCGCAAUGCUGCCUGCAGCGACCGAGGUCCGCGCAUCUGCUAGGAUGCUGGUAAAAUGGUCUUCAGCGACCCGUCUUGAAACACGGACCAAGGAGUCUAACAUCUAUGCGAGUGUUUGGGUGGAAAACCCUUGCGCGUAAUGAAAGUGAACGUAGGUGGGACCUCGCAAGAGUGCACCAUCGACCGAUCCUGAUGUCUUCGGAUGGAUUUGAGUAAGAGCAUAGCUGUUGGGACCCGAAAGAUGGUGAACUAUGCCUGAAUAGGGUGAAGCCAGAGGAAACUCUGGUGGAGGCUCGCAGCGGUUCUGACGUGCAAAUCGAUCGUCAAAUUUGGGUAUAGGGGCGAAAGACUAAUCGAACCAUCUAGUAGCUGGUUCCUGC
rnacentral:misc_RNA from 1 species